rnacentral:rRNA from 1 species
GACGUAGGGCGCGAGCGUUGUCCGGAUUUAUUGGGCGUAAAGAGCUCGUAGGUGGUUUGUCGCGUUGUCCGUGAAAUUCCCUGGCUUAACUGGGGGCGUGCGGGCGAUACGGGCAGACUGGAGUACUGCAGGGGAGACUGGAAUUCCAGGUGUAGCGGUGAAAUGCGUAGAUAUCUGGAGGAACACCGGUGGCGAAGGCGGCAUCCUGGACCGGCACUGACGCUGAGGAGCGAAAGCCAGGGGAGCAAACGGG